rnacentral:rRNA from 1 species
UCAAGCUACUAAGGGCGUACGGUGGAUGCCUUGGCGCAGGACGGCGAUGAAGGACGUGGCAAGCUGCGAUAAGCCUCGGAUAGCCGCAAACAGGCUCCGACCCGAGGAUUUCCGAAUGGGGCAACCCGUCUAGGGUAAUCCUAGAUCACGCAAGGUGAAUACAUAGCCUUGCGUAGCCAACCCGGGGAAGUGAACCAUCUCAGUACCCGGAGGAAAAGAAAGCAAAUGCGACUCCCCUAGUAGCGGCGAGCGAACGGGGAUGAGCCCAAACCUCUUCUAUGUCAAGUCUGUCGACGUUGUAGAAGAGGGGUUGUAGGGCCGGACGUGACACUGGACAGCAGUGUCGGGAAGUUACAAAUCGAUCUCUUAGCCGAACAGUCUGGGACGGCUGGCGAUACAGGGUGAAAGCCCCGUAGGCGAAAAGAGUGAGACUUCCUUGUUCGGUUCCUGAGUACCGCGGGGCACGUGAAACCCUGCGGGAAUCUGGGAGGACCAUCUCCCAAGGCUAAGUACGUGCCUGCGACCGAUAGUGAACCAGUACCGUGAGGGAAAGGUGAAAAGAACCCCUAUAGGGGAGUGAAAUAGUACCUGAAACCGUGCGCUUACAAGCAGUUGGAGGGCGUUUCACCGGGGCAACCCGGUAAGCCUGACAGCGUGCCUUUUGCAUAAUGAGCCGGCUAGUUUUUCUCAGCGGCAAGGUUAAGCGUUAAGCGAGCCGUAGCGAAAGCAAGUCUGAAUAGGGCGAAUUAGUCGCUGGGAAAAGACGCGAAGCGAGGUGAUCUACCCAUGGCCAGGGUGAAAGUCGGGUAACACCGACCGGAGGCCCGAACCAGUGUUGGUUGAAAACAGCUUGGAUGAGCUGUGGGUAGGGGUGAAAGGCUAAUCAAACCUCGUGAUUGCCCGUUCUCUUCGAAAUAGCUUUAGGGCUAGCGUCAUGUCUAACUUCCGGGGGUAAAGUACUGAAUGGACUAGGGCCUUUACCGAGGUACCGAAUCCAAUCCAACUCUGAAUACCGGAAAGUUCAAUCAUGGCAGUCAGACAGUGGGGGCUAAGCUCCAUUGUCAAAAGGGAAACAGCCCAGACCGUCAGCUAAGGUCCCAAAGUGCCGUCUUAGUGGUAAAGGAUGUGGAUCCGCACAGACAACCAGGAGGUUGGCUUAGAAGCAGCCAUCCUUUAAAGAAAGCGUAAUAGCUCACUGGUCAAGNNACAAUUGGUAGAAGAGCGUUCCAUACUCGAUGAAGCCCGACCGACAAGGACGAGUGGAGGGUAUGGAAGAGACCCUGCCGGCACAAGUAGCGAUAAAACGUGUGAAAACCAUGUUCGCCGUAAACCUAAGGUUUCCUGAGCUAGGUCAAUCCGCUCAGGGUUAGUCGGGCCUAAGGCAAGGCCGAAAGGCGUAGCCGAUGGGAAACGGGUCAACAUUCCCGUACCGUCAUGCAACGAUAAAGACCGAUGGGGUGACGCAGAAGGGCAGAUCAGCCUACGAUUGGUUGUGUAGGUUCAAGUAUGUACGAAGGCUUCGUUGGUAAAUCCGUGAAGCUUUUUCCGAGAUACGAUGUCGAGAGCUUCGGCUCGCAAAGUGAUCGAUCCCAUGCUGCCAAGAAAAGCCUCUAAGGAGUUGUAGGGCGACCGUACCGCAAACCGACACAGGUAGGUGAGGAGAAAAUCCUAAGGCGCUAGUGAGAAUUCUCGUUUAGGAACUAGGCACAUUAACCCCGUAACUUCGGGAGAAGGGGUGCUUCUUUGGGUCAGGAGACUUGCUUUCCAAAGCCCAAGGGAGUCGCAGCGAAUCGGCUCAGGCGACUGUUUACUAAAAACACAGGGCUCUGCAAAGUCAUAAAAACGACGUAUAGGGUCUGACGCCUGCCCGGUGCCGGAAGGUUAAAGAGAGGGGUUAGGCGCAAGCCGAAGCUCUGAACUGAAGCCCCGGUAAACGGCGGCCGUAACUAUAACGGUCCUAAGGUAGCGAAAUUCCUUGUCGGGUAAGUUCCGACCUGCACGAAUGGCGUAACGAUCUGAGCGCUGUCUCAACGAGGAGCACUGCGAAUCUGUAGUACCGGUGAAGAUGCCGGUUUCCCGCAACUAGACGGAAAGACCCCGUGCACCUUUACUGCACCCUAGCCUUGAACUUGGGUGCGUUCUGCGCAGGAUAGGUGGGAGGCUUUGAACCCGGGAUUUUGGUCUCGGGGGAGCCAACGGUGAGAUACCACCCUUAACGCACUUAGGUUCUAACCUGCUCCCCUAUAUCGGGGAGAGAGACACGGCUAGGCGGGUAGUUUGACUGGGGCGGUCGCCUCCCAAAGAGUAACGGAGGCGCUCGAAGGUUCCCUCAGGCUGUUUGGAAAUCAGCCGGCGAGUGUAAAGGCACAAGGGAGCUUGACUGCGAGACCUACAAGUCAAGCAGGUGCGAAAGCAGGACUUAGUGAUCUGGUGGUUCCGCAUGGAAGGGCCAUCACUUAACGGAUAAAAGGUACGCCGGGGAUAACAGGCUGAUCUGGUCCAAGAGUUCACAUCGACGACCAGGUUUGGCACCUCGAUGUCGGCUCAUCGCAUCCUGGAGCUGUAGAAGGUUCCAAGGGUUGGGCUGUUCGCCCAUUAAAGCGGUACGUGAGCUGGGUUUAGAACGUCGCGAGACAGUUCGGUCCCUAUCUGUUGUGGGCGAAGGAGAUUUGAGGGGAGCUGUCCUUAGUACGAGAGGACCGGGAUGGACGAACCUCUAGUGCACCAGUUGUCACGCCAGUGGCAUCGCUGGGUAGCUACGUUCGGUAGGGAUAAACGCUGAAAGCAUCUAAGCGUGAAGCCCACCCCAAGAUGAGAUCUCCCGCAGGGUAACCUGCCUAAAGACCCCUGGAAGACUACCAGGUUGAUAGGCCCGAGGUGUAAGGAACGAGCGCAAGCACAGUUCUUUAGCUGACGGGUACUAAUCGGUCGUGAGGCUUGACCAU